CCCCUUAACUGUAUCGCAUGUCCUUAAUGCAAGAACGUAAACAAAUGUAAACAUCGGCAAUGCAUGCAAAUAUGAAAGAAAUCUGUUCACUUAUUUGACUUCUGUGGAUGUGCCUUUUAAUAAUCAUGACUUUUUGUACUCAAUCCAAUUCUGAUAAUACAAACAAACAGAUACACACCCACCAACUACACCAUCACCCGA
rnacentral:lncRNA from 1 species